rnacentral:rRNA from 1 species
UGGGGAAUUUUGGACAAUGGGCGCAAGCCUGAUCCAGCCAUGCCGCGUGCGGGAAGAAGGCCUUCGGGUUGUAAACCGCUUUUGUCAGGGAAGAAAUCCUUUGAGCUAAUACCUCGGGGGGAUGACGGUACCUGAAGAAUAAGCACCGGCUAACUACGUGCCAGCAGCCGCGGUAAUACGUAGGGUGCAAGCGUUAAUCGGAAUUACUGGGCGUAAAGCGUGCGCAGGCGGUUAUGCAAGACAGAGGUGAAAUCCCCGGGCUCAACCUGGGAACUGCCUUUGUGACUGCAUAGCUAGAGUACGGUAGAGGGGGAUGGAAUUCCGCGUGUAGCAGUGAAAUGCGUAGAUAUGUGGAGGAACACCGAUGGCGAAGGCAGCCCCCUGGGUCAAGAUUGACGCUCAUGCACGAAAGCGUGGGGAGCAAACA